rnacentral:lncRNA from 1 species
UCCUUUUAUGGUCACAAACCUUGUGUUUAAAAUUUCAUAGAUUUCUAUUUACUUAUACUAAAGUUAUGGUGCGAAAACCAAGAAUAAUGCUUAUUUGGGCCCUUUUUUGUUUUUGGGCCCUUUUUUGUUUUUGGCCCCUUAUUCCUAAACUGUUGGGACCUCAACUCCCAAAAUCAAUCCCAACCUUCCUUUUGUGGUCAUAAACCUUGUGUUUUAUUUUCAUUGAUUUCUAUUUACUUAUACUAAAGUUAUUGUGUGAAAACCAUGAAUAAUGCUUAUUUG